rnacentral:rRNA from 1 species
UGGGGAAUAUUGCACAAUGGGCGAAAGCCUGAUGCAGCAACGCCGCGUGAGUGAUGAAGGCCUUCGGGUUGUAAAGCUCUGUCUUUUGGGACGAUAAUGACGGUACCAAAGGAGGAAGCCACGGCUAACUACGUGCCAGCAGCCGCGGUAAUACGUAGGUGGCAAGCGUUGUCCGGAUUUACUGGGCGUAAAGGAUGCGUAGGCGGAUUUUUAAGUGAGAUGUGAAAUACCCGGGCUUAACUUGGGCGCUGCAUUUCAAACUGGGAAUCUAGAGUGCGGGAGAGGAGAAUGGAAUUCCUAGUGUAGCGGUGAAAUGCGUAGAGAUUAGGAAGAACACCAGUGGCGAAGGCGAUUCUCUGGACCGUAACUGACGCUGAGGCAUGAAAGCGUGGGUAGCAAACAGGAUUAGAUACCCUGGUAGUCCACGCCGUAAACGAUGAGUACUAGGUGUAGGAGGUAUCGACCCCUUCUGUGCCGCAGUUAACACAAUAAGUACUCCGCCUGGGAAGUACGAUCGCAAGAUUAAAACUCAAAGGAAUUGACGGGGUC